ACGAACGCUGGCGGCAUGCCUAACACAUGCAAGUCGAACGAGACCUUCGGGUCUAGUGGCGCACGGGUGCGUAACGCGUGGGAACCUGCCCUUAGGUUCGGAAUAACUCCCCGAAAGGGGUGCUAAUACCGGAUAAUGUCUUCGGACCAAAGAUUUAUCGCCUUUGGAUGGGCCCGCGUUGGAUUAGCUAGUUGGUAGGGUAAAAGCCUACCAAGGCGACGAUCCAUAGCUGGUCUGAGAGGAUGAUCAGCCACACUGGGACUGAGACACGGCCCAGACUCCUACGGGGGGAAGGAGGGGGGAAUAUUGGAAAAGGGGGGAAGGCCGACCCCAGCAAUCCCGGGGGAGUGAUGAAGGCCUUGGGGUUUAAAAGCUUUUUUCCCCGGGAUGAAAAAGACAGGCCCGGGAGAAAAAGCCCCGGCAAACCCCG
rnacentral:rRNA from 1 species